rnacentral:rRNA from 1 species
GACGAACGCUGGCGGCGUGCUUAACACAUGCAAGUCGAGCGGUAAGGCCCUUUCGGGGGUACGACGAGCGGCGAACGGGUGAGUAACACGUGGGUGACCUGCCUUUAGUCUCUGGGAUAAGCCUGGGAAACUGGGUCUAAUACCGGAUAUGACCCUAUGGCGCAUGUUGUGGGGUGGAAANCCUUGUGCGGCUAGGGAUGGGCCCGCGGCCUAUCAGCUUGUUGGGUGGGGGUGAUGGCCCUACCAAGGCGACGACGGGUAGCCGGCCUGAGAGGGCGACCGGCCACACUGGGACUGAGACACGGCCCAGACUCCUACGGGAGGCAGCAGUGGGGAAUCUUGCGCAAUGGGCGAAAGCCUGACGCAGCGACGCCGCGUGAGGGAUGACGGCC